GUUAUAUGGUCAAGCGAAUAAGCGCACACGGUGGAUGCCUAGGCGGUCAGAGGCGAUGAAGGACGUGGUAGCCUGCGAAAAGUGUCGGGGAGUUGGCAACAAGCUUUGAUCCGGCAAUAUCCGAAUGGGGAAACCCACUGCUUCGGCAGUAUCCUGCAGUGAAUUCAUAGCUGCUGGAAGCGAACCCGGUGAACUGAAAUAUCUAAGUAACCGGAGGAAAAGAAAUCAACCGAGAUUCCCUAAGUAGUGACGAGCGAACGGGGAGCAGCCCUUAAGCUGGAAUGGCUUUAGAAAAACAAUCUGGAAAGAUUGGCCAUAGAAGGUGAUAGCCCUGUAUUUAAAAGGGCCACUCCAGUGAAGACGAGUAGGGCGGGGCACGUGAAACCCUGUCUGAAUAUGGGGGGACCAUCCUCCAAGGCUAAAUACUCCUGACCGACCGAUAGUGAACCAGUACCGUGAGGGAAAGGCGAAAAGAACCCCGGAGAGGGGAGUGAAAUAGAUCCUGAAACCGUGUGCGUACAAGCAGUAGGAGCUCGCAAGAGUGACUGCGUACCUUUUGUAUAAUGGGUCAGCGACUUACUGUUCGUGGCAAGCUUAACCGUAUAGGGGAGGCGAAGGGAAACCGAGUCUGAUAAGGGCGCAUAGUCGCGGGCAGUAGACCCGAAACCGGGUGAUCUAGUCAUGGCCAGGGUGAAGGUGCCGUAACAGGUACUGGAGGCCCGAACCCACGUCUGUUGCAAAAGACGGGGAUGAGCUGUGAUUAGGAGUGAAAAGCUAAUCGAACCCGGAGAUAGCUGGUUCUCCUCGAAAGCUAUUUAGGUAGCGCCUCAUAUGUAUCCUCUCGGGGGUAGAGCACUGUUAUGGCUAGGGGGUCAUCGCGACUUACCAAACCAUUGCAAACUCCGAAUACCGAGACGGACUGUAUGGGAGACACACGGCGGGUGCUAACGUCCGUCGUGAAAAGGGAAACAACCCAGACCCACAGCUAAGGUCCCAAAUUCACUGCUAAGUGGAAAACGAUGUGGAAAGGCAUAGACAGCCAGGAGGUUGGCUUAGAAGCAGCCACCCUUUAAAGAAAGCGUAAUAGCUCACUGGUCGAGUCGGUCUGCGCGGAAGAUUUAACGGGGCUAAGCAGUGAACCGAAGCUUGGGGUGCAUAAAACUUGUUUUAUGCGCGGUAGAGGAGCGUUCCGUAAGCCUGCGAAGGUGGAUUGAGAAGUCUGCUGGAGGUAUCGGAAGUGCGAAUGCUGACAUGAGUAACGAUAAUGCGGGUGAAAAGCCCGCACGCCGAAAGCCCAAGGUUUCCUUGCGCAACGUUAAUCGACGCAGGGUUAGUCGGUCCCUAAGGCGAGGGCGAAAGCCGUAGUCGAUGGGAAGCAGGUUAAUAUUCCUGCACCUCGCGUGAGUGCGAUGGAGGGACGGAGAAGGUUAGGUGUACCGGGCGUUGGUUGUCCCGGGGAAAGGCGGUAGGUUUGGAUCUUUGGCAAAUCCGGGAUCCUUUAAGACCGAGCACCGAGACGAGCCUUUAUGGCGAAGUCACUGAUACCACGCUUCCAGGAAAAGCUCCUAAGCUUCAGCUCACGAAGACCGUACCGUAAACCGACACAGGUGGGUAGGAUGAGAAUUCUCAGGCGCUUGAGAGAACUCGGGUGAAGGAACUAGGCAACAUGGCACCGUAACUUCGGGAGAAGGUGCACCCUUUUUGGUGGCUCGUGCGAGCUAUAGCUGAAGAGGGUCGCAGAAACCAGGCCGCUGCGACUGUUUAUCAAAAACACAGCACUCUGCAAACACGAAAGUGGACGUAUAGGGUGUGACGCCUGCCCGGUGCUGGAAGGUUAAUUGAUGGGGUCAGCCGCAAGGCGAAGCUCUUGAUCGAAGCCCCAGUAAACGGCGGCCGUAACUAUAACGGUCCUAAGGUAGCGAAAUUCCUUGUCGGGUAAGUUCCGACCUGCACGAAUGGCGUAACGACAGCGGCGCUGUCUCCACCCGAGACUCAGUGAAAUUGAAAUCGCUGUGAAGAUGCAGCGUUCCCGUGGCAAGACGGAAAGACCCCGUGAACCUUUACUAUAGCUUUACACUGAACGUUGAGUUCGUCUGUGUAGGAUAGGUGGGAGGCUAUGAAACUGUGGCGCUAGCUGCAGUGG
rnacentral:rRNA from 1 species